CGUUACAGUUGUGGACCACACGGACCUCUUUAAUGCUAGGAGGUUGAGUGCUACAACACUCCACGCCACGCAGAAUGCAUGCGCACAUGCUCAACAGUGAACACACCCAACUUUUUCCUAAUUUUGGAAGAUAGAGAUUAGAGAGUGCUUCAGCCCCUGUACUCCUUUGCUCUCUUUCUUGUGCAAUUCUCGGUUCUCCAGCUGCCCACAGUAUAGUAUCCGGUGUAAGCUCAACCCCAGAACCCCUUCUAUAAAUAGGGAUUCGGUGUGAGCAAUGGUGCCUCACACAGUCACACGGUUCACAUACCUCUUCGCUAGCCUUCCCCUUCAGUUCCUCCCGCUCUCUCUUUCUCCUAGGAUCGAUCAUACACCCUGGAAAUGGACUCCGAUGCGUGGACCGCUCGCCUCUCCAUUGCUUCGCGGCGCUACCAGAGAUCGAUCAGAUCUGUACCUGUGAGGGGGUCACAAGGAAAUUGACGGGGCCGAGUUUCUGUGCCCGUUUUGCGCUUAGGAUUACAACGUCAUUCGCCGUUGUUGCCAUGUCGAUGAGGAGCAUCCUAUGGAGGCCAAGAAUGGGGUACCCAUUUUUUCUUUUUGCUUUUGGUUUCUGGUUUGUUGUUCUCUCUGUUAGAGUAAUAGAUAAGAGAGAGGUUUUGCCGUUGUGGAAAGGAACAAGCAAGGUUGUGGGUUAGUGGAUUUAUGUUGACUGGGUUUGAUUUCGUGCUGAUUGGGGCUCUGUUGCGGCUCCGGCUUUUUCUCUAC